rnacentral:rRNA from 1 species
UGCCUCAAAGAGGGGGACAACAGUUGGAAACGACUGCUAAUACCGCAUAAGCCCACGGCUCGGCAUCGAGCAGAGGGAAAAGGAGCAAUCCGCUUUGAGAUGGCCUCGCGUCCGAUUAGCUAGUUGGUGAGGUAACGGCCCACCAAGGCGACGAUCGGUAGCCGGACUGAGAGGUUGAACGGCCACAUUGGGACUGAGACACGGCCCAGACUCCUACGGGAGGCAGCAGUGGGGAAUAUUGCACAAUGGGGGAAACCCUGAUGCAGCGACGCCGCGUGGAGGAAGAAGGUCUUCGGAUUGUAAACUCCUGUUGCUGGGGAAGAUAAUGACGGUACCCAACAAGGAAGUGACGGCUAACUACGUGCCAGCAGCCGCGGUAAAACGUAGGUCACAAGCGUUGUCCGGAAUUACUGGGUGUAAAGGGAGCGCAGGCGGGAAGACAAGUUGGAAGUGAAAUCUAUGGGCUCAACCCAUAAACUGCUUUCAAAACUGUUUUUCUUGAGUAGUGCAGAGGUAGGCGGAAUUCCCGGUGUAGCGGUGGAAUGCGUAGAUAUCGGGAGGAACACCAGUGGCGAAGGCGGCCUACUGGGCACCAACUGACGCUGAGGCUCGAAAGUGUGGGUAGCAAACAGGAUUAGAUACCCUGGUAGUCCACACCGUAAACGAUGAUUACUAGGUGUUGGAGGAUUGACCCCUUCAGUGCCGCAG